UUGGCUUUGCAGACAUGUGUCUCUGACAGCAGAAAAAGGGCAGGGUCCCUGCAUGCCAGGCCAGAAAGAGGGACCUGGCAAGGAAUCCUGAAUUUUCAGGUGAAAAAUCUGCUUUAGGCAAACUGGGAAUGAAUGCUGAUGUAACUUGGAUUGCGGGAGGCAGAGACCCUGGAGGCCCUACCCAGUGACAGCAAUUGCAGAUGAUGAUGUCUGAUAAUCAUAUAAUCAUAUUGAUAACAACCAUCAUCUCCCUCACCCUUGUGGUGGCUCAAUAAUUUCACCCAUCACUUUGGUUUGUCUUGUGCUUGAGUUUGUGCCUGACUGAGUCACAUGGGCAUCCAUGGACCAGUCCUGUGCUCUGGGAGUCAGGAGUGGGGUCAGGUUCACAGGGGACAUGGGGAGGAUGAUGCGUCCUAAAGCUCAAGAACAGGAGUGAAGGCUGGGUGGCCCAAGGAACCAUCACUGCCCAUUAACAGGGACAGUAUCAACCUGGAUCAGCCCGAAAGUUCUUGAAUGGAGGGUGCGGUGGACACAAGGCUUUCCACAUCUCAGUCUCCCUGGGCAGCAAGUGAGGCUGACACCAUUGGGAUCUCCGUUUUAACAGGU
rnacentral:lncRNA from 10 species